UGCACGCCCGAGUGCCCUCACACACAUCCAUCUCACCCCUAUGUGCACCACCGCGUGGGUCCCCCUUUGGCUCGUUCGGAGGGGGGCUUACGUUUUCACACAAACUUUGUAUGCAGUGUAGAAUGUAUUUUUUGUUUUUGCGAUCACGCAAUCAAUACAACUUUCAACAACGGAUCUCUUGGCUCUCGCAUCGAUGAAGAACGCAGCGAAAUGCGAUACGUAAUGUGAAUUGCAGAAUUCAGUGAAUCAUCGAAUCUUUGAACGCACCUUGCGCCCCUUGGCAUUCCGAGGGGCACACCCGUUUGAGUGUCGUGAAAUUCUCAAAAACCUUUUUCUUUUGGGAAAGGGUUUUUGGACUUGGAGGCUUUUUGCUGGCUUCACCUUGAAGUGAGCUCCUCCUAAAUGAAUCAGUGGGGUCCCCUUUGCCGAUCCUUGACGUGAUAAGAUGUUUCUGCGUCUUUGGGUUUGGCACUGUCACCUGCUUCUAACUGUCUCAUUGACAAUGAUGGUGUUCCGGUCACCACCGCUCUUAUCGGUGGGAGGCUUGACCCACAAAAACAAAACC
rnacentral:rRNA from 1 species